UCAGUCACAUGUUCCAGUAUAGUGUGUACUGGAUAUCCUGACAUGGGCUCGGGAAUACUUUGGUAAACCAUUGUCAAUCAACACCAUUCUCCGCUGCAUCCACAGAUGCAAGUUAAGGCUUUACUAUGCAAAGCAAAAGUCAUACAUCAACACUGUCCAGAAGCGCCGACAACUUCUCUGGGCUGGGUCUCAUCUGAGAUGGACAGUCGCACAGUGGAAUCGUGUUUUGUGACCCGACGAGUCAACAUUUCAAAUAGUUUUUGGACUAAACAGCUGUCGUGUUCUCUGGUCCAAAGAGGAAAAGAACCAGCGUCAGGUCCAAAAGCCAGCAUAUGUCAUGGUAUUCCUCACCCUUGCCCUUGUCCAGUAGGAACAUCAUCAUCUCCCUCAUAUAACCGUUGAGAAUGGCUUUAACAAAAGAAGAAUAUAUUGAACUCAUUCUCAUGGCUGGAUCGGGGAGCUGUCGCAAGGCUGUGAUGGACUUUAACAGGAAACAUAUCAAGCACGUCAAGACUAGAAGUACUGCGGACCAACCGAGAUGUGGACAAACAUCCAUUGAUGAAGGCACAACUGGCGUGGUGCUGGCAAACAUAGACCCCUAUGAAUGGAGGCUUUUGGG